rnacentral:rRNA from 1 species
CCUACGGGUGGCUGCAGUGGGGAAUCUUGCGCAAUGGCCGAAAGGCUGACGCAGCGACGCCGCGUGGGGGAUGAAGGCCUUCGGGUCGUAAACCCCUGUUGCCCGGGACGAACGGCCUAAUUCGUUAGGCGUGACGGUACCGGGUGAGGAAGCACCGGCUAACUCUGUGCCAGCAGCCGCGGUAAUACAGAGGGUGCGAGCGUUGUCCGGAAUCACUGGGCGUAAAGGGCGCGUAGGCGGCCCCUUAAGCGUGUGGUGAAAGCGCGGGGCUCAAC